GCCUGGAGCGGGGCCGGCACCGCCCGGAUACUCCAGACCUCACGGAAUGGGAGGGCCCAACAUGCCCCCGCCCGGACCCUCAGGAGUUCCCCCCGGAAUGCCGGGACAACCCCCCGGGGGCCCCCCCAAACCCUGGCCGGAAGGGCCGCUGUCGGCGGCGGCUCCGGGCGGGGCCCCCCAGAAGCUGCUGCCGCCUCCCCCCGCGGGUCGCCCGUCCCCCGCCCCGCCCGCGGUGCCACCGGCGUCCCCAGGGCCCCCCCCCGCCCUCGCCGGGGCAACCGGCGCCGCCCGCCCUCCCCGUGCACCCCAAACAGAACCGAAUCACCCCCAUCCAGAAACCGCGCGGCCUCGACCCCGUCGAGAUCCUGCAGGAGAGGGAG